rnacentral:rRNA from 1 species
GGAUGAACGCUAGCGGCAGGCCUAAUACAUGCAAGUCGGACGGGAUUUGGGAGCUUGCUCCUGAUGAGAGUGGCGCACGGGUGCGUAACACGUAUGUAACCUACCCUUACCAGGGGGAUAGCCUCUCGAAAGAGAGAUUAAGCCCGCAUAACAUUAAGACACAGCAUUGUGAUUUAAUCAAAUAUUUAUAGGAUAAGGAUGGGCAUGCGGAACAUUAGCUAGUUGGUAAGGUAACGGCUUACCAAGGCGACGAUGUUUAGGGGAUCUGAGAGGAUGGCCCCCCACACUGGUACUGAGACACGGACCAGACUCCUACGGGAGGCAGCAGUAAGGAAUAUUGGUCAAUGGGCGCAAGCCUGAACCAGCCAUGCCGCGUGCAGGAAGACGGCCCUACGGGUUGUAAACUGCUUUUGCAGGGGAAUAAACCCCCGUACGUGUACGGGGUUGAAUGUACUCUGAGAAUAAGGAUCGGCUAACUCCGUGCCAGCAGCCGCGGUAAUACGGAGGAUCCGAGCGUUAUCCGGAUUUAUUGGGUUUAAAGGGUGCGUAGGCGGCCUGUUAAGUCAGGGGUGAAAGACGGUAGCUUAACUAUCGCAGUGCCUUUGAUACUGACGGGCUUGAAUGUAGUUGAGGCAGGCGGAAUGUGACAAGUAGCGGUGAAAUGCAUAGAUAUGUCACAGAACACCAAUUGCGAAGGCAGCUUGCUAAAGUAUGAUUGACGCUGAGGCACGAAAGCGUGGGGAUCAAACAGGAUUAGAUACCCUGGUAGUCCACGCCCUAAACGAUGAACACUCGAUGUUGGCGAUAUACAGUCAGCGUCAAAGCGAAAGCGUUAAGUGUUCCACCUGGGGAGUACGCCCGCAAGGGUGA